UGACCUCAUGAUCUGCCCUCCUCAGCCUCCCAAAGUGCUAGGAUUACAGAUGUGAGCCACCGCCCCCGGCCACAGGACCUUAUGAGUCCAGGUUUUUCUUUUACUUUUAUUUGAACUUCAAAGGAAGACGAUCUUGGUAUUUUCAUUUCAAAAAAUGUUGUGGGAAAUGCCAUCAGGGAAAUGAAUCUUCGGUGGUGGCACUCCAGGCUUGGCAUAACAGCAUGCAUUUUUGCUGGUUUUAAGUGCAAAGGAUAGCUCUUAAUGCCCCUUACUGCAUUGCCAUAGUCUAUCUUCCUGGAUUCUUUACUUGUUUUGCAGGCUGAGACCUGGGAUAUUGGAAUGCGAAGGAGAUUAGAAGCUGGUUACAUUUAAACAGGCAAGCCAGCUGAGGAAGAGCUGGGGCUGGAGCUGAAUUCUCCCAUUUAUCAACGUCUUCACCAAGGAGUCCUUGUCACCCCUUCCAGUCACCCACACAGCCCCCUGAGCCAUUUCAGUCCCCACUACGAUGGCUUGCUGAGUCCUGGAUGCUGAUUAAAAACCUGAAGCAAGCUGCUCCCUCCAUACCUUUUCUUUGUGGUUGGGUAAACAGUGAAUGGCUGGCUACCUCUUCCUCUCCAUUUCAGAGGUGAUUAUCUGGUUCUAUAUUGGCCAAACAAAAUGUUUCAUCCUCUUGCCCUUUAUUACAUGUUCAAAAAUAGGCAAAUGACCCAAGCCCAGGAAUGAAAAUCAAUACCUAGUUAAGCAAGAAGCUCUCUCUUUACACAGGGAAAUUAAUUAAGCAGGUAGCAUGUAACCCUACAAGUGCUGGUGGCCAUUUUUACCACCACUUGGGAAGAACAUUUAGGAGAAUAAAGUCUACCCAAUGAAACAAGAGCUGAACUAUGGUGAGGGACAGGCUCAUAAUGACAUUAUUUAAGAAUUCAGAAUGCUCUUGCUUUCCACUUCCCAGUGAUAGUAGUCAAUAACUGUCUUUUUUCUUUUUCUGCUAAAUCUCUUACCAUUUGCAGUAGAAACAUCUUGACUAAUAGACUUCCUAAACACCGUGCAUGAAACAUCUCACUUUUCAACCACAUUCAUCUACAGAAUAAAGUUAUGGCCUUUCAGCACAACCUUCAGUGCCUUUUAGGUUUUAGGCUCAACGUAUAUUUUGAACUUGACAUCUGAGUCACAUUCCUCACCACAGUCCCCUCCUGUCUCCU
rnacentral:lncRNA from 1 species